UUAAGCGACUAAGCGUACACGGUGGAUGCCCUGGCAGUCAGAGGCGAUGAAGGACGUGCUAAUCUGCGAUAAGCGUCGGUAAGGUGAUAUGAACCGUUAUAACCGGCGAUUUCCGAAUGGGGAAACCCAGUGUGAUUCGUCACACUAUCAUUAACUGAAUCCAUAGGUUAAUGAGGCGAACCGGGGGAACUGAAACAUCUAAGUACCCCGAGGAAAAGAAAUCAACCGAGAUUCCCCCAGUAGCGGCGAGCGAACGGGGAGCAGCCCAGAGCCUGAAUCAGUGUGUGUGUUAGUGGAAGCGUCUGGAAAGGCGCGCGAUACAGGGUGACAGCCCCGUACACAAAAAUGCACAUGCUGUGAGCUCGAUGAGUAGGGCGGGACACGUGGUAUCCUGUCUGAAUAUGGGGGGACCAUCCUCCAAGGCUAAAUACUCCUGACUGACCGAUAGUGAACCAGUACCGUGAGGGAAAGGCGAAAAGAACCCCGGCGAGGGGAGUGAAAAAGAACCUGAAACCGUGUACGUACAAGCAGUGGGAGCCUCUUUUAUGGGGUGACUGCGUACCUUUUGUAUAAUGGGUCAGCGACUUAUAUUCUGUAGCAAGGUUAACCGAAUAGGGGAGCCGAAGGGAAACCGAGUCUUAACUGGGCGUUAAGUUGCAGGGUAUAGACCCGAAACCCGGUGAUCUAGCCAUGGGCAGGUUGAAGGUUGGGUAACACUAACUGGAGGACCGAACCGACUAAUGUUGAAAAAUUAGCGGAUGACUUGUGGCUGGGGGUGAAAGGCCAAUCAAACCGGGAGAUAGCUGGUUCUCCCCGAAAGCUAUUUAGGUAGCGCCUCGUGAAUUCAUCUCCGGGGGUAGAGCACUGUUUCGGCAAGGGGGUCAUCCCGACUUACCAACCCGAUGCAAACUGCGAAUACCGGAGAAUGUUAUCACGGGAGACACACGGCGGGUGCUAACGUCCGUCGUGAAGAGGGAAACAACCCAGACCGCCAGCUAAGGUCCCAAAGUCAUGGUUAAGUGGGAAACGAUGUGGGAAGGCCCAGACAGCCAGGAUGUUGGCUUAGAAGCAGCCAUCAUUUAAAGAAAGCGUAAUAGCUCACUGGUCGAGUCGGCCUGCGCGGAAGAUGUAACGGGGCUAAACCAUGCACCGAAGCUGCGGCAGCGACGCUGAUGCGUUGUUGGGUAGGGGAGCGUUCUGUAAGCCUGUGAAGGUGUGCUGUGAGGCAUGCUGGAGGUAUCAGAAGUGCGAAUGCUGACAUAAGUAACGAUAAAGCGGGUGAAAAGCCCGCUCGCCGGAAGACCAAGGGUUCCUGUCCAACGUUAAUCGGGGCAGGGUGAGUCGACCCCUAAGGCGAGGCCGAAAGGCGUAGUCGAUGGGAAACAGGUUAAUAUUCCUGUACUUGGUGUUACUGCGAAGGGGGGACGGAGAAGGCUAUGUUGGCCGGGCGACGGUUGUCCCGGUUUAAGCGUGUAGGCUGGUUUUCCAGGCAAAUCCGGAAAAUCAAGGCUGAGGCGUGAUGACGAGGCACUACGGUGCUGAAGCAACAAAUGCCCUGCUUCCAGGAAAAGCCUCUAAGCAUCAGGUAACAUCAAAUCGUACCCCAAACCGACACAGGUGGUCAGGUAGAGAAUACCAAGGCGCUUGAGAGAACUCGGGUGAAGGAACUAGGCAAAAUGGUGCCGUAACUUCGGGAGAAGGCACGCUGAUAUGUAGGUGAAGUCCCUUGCGGAUGGAGCUGAAAUCAGUCGAAGAUACCAGCUGGCUGCAACUGUUUAUUAAAAACACAGCACUGUGCAAACACGAAAGUGGACGUAUACGGUGUGACGCCUGCCCGGUGCCGGAAGGUUAAUUGAUGGGGUCAGCGCAAGCGAAGCUCUUGAUCGAAGCCCCGGUAAACGGCGGCCGUAACUAUAACGGUCCUAAGGUAGCGAAAUUCCUUGUCGGGUAAGUUCCGACCUGCACGAAUGGCGUAAUGAUGGCCAGGCUGUCUCCACCCGAGACUCAGUGAAAUUGAACUCGCUGUGAAGAUGCAGUGUACCCGCGGCAAGACGGAAAGACCCCGUGAACCUUUACUAUAGCUUGACACUGAACAUUGAGCCUUGAUGUGUAGGAUAGGUGGGAGGCUUUGAAGUGUGGACGCCAGUCUGCAUGGAGCCGACCUUGAAAUACCACCCUUUAAUGUUUGAUGUUCUAACGUGGACCCGUAAUCCGGGUUGCGGACAGUGUCUGGUGGGUAGUUUGACUGGGGCGGUCUCCUCCUAAAGAGUAACGGAGGAGCACGAAGGUUGGCUAAUCCUGGUCGGACAUCAGGAGGUUAGUGCAAUGGCAUAAGCCAGCUUGACUGCGAGCGUGACGGCGCGAGCAGGUGCGAAAGCAGGUCAUAGUGAUCCGGUGGUUCUGAAUGGAAGGGCCAUCGCUCAACGGAUAAAAGGUACUCCGGGGAUAACAGGCUGAUACCGCCCAAGAGUUCAUAUCGACGGCGGUGUUUGGCACCUCGAUGUCGGCUCAUCACAUCCUGGGGCUGAAGUAGGUCCCAAGGGUAUGGCUGUUCGCCAUUUAAAGUGGUACGCGAGCUGGGUUUAGAACGUCGUGAGACAGUUCGGUCCCUAUCUGCCGUGGGCGCUGGAGAACUGAGGGGGGCUGCUCCUAGUACGAGAGGACCGGAGUGGACGCAUCACUGGUGUUCGGGUUGUCAUGCCAAUGGCACUGCCCGGUAGCUAAAUGCGGAAGAGAUAAGUGCUGAAAGCAUCUAAGCACGAAACUUGCCCCGAGAUGAGUUCUCCCUGACUCCUUGAGAGUCCUGAAGGAACGUUGAAGACGACGACGUUGAUAGGCCGGGUGUGUAAGCGCAGCGAUGCGUUGAGCUAACCGGUACUAAUGAACCGUGAGGCUUAACCUU
rnacentral:rRNA from 1 species